rnacentral:lncRNA from 1 species
CGCGCCAGGCCGCCAGCAGCGCGGAGGUCAGGUUGCGCACGUGGAUCCUGUUUGGGGGUGGGCGUGUGAGGGCGUGUGAGGGCGUGUGUGUGUGGCGGGGAGAGGACUGCGGGGGGAGGGGGAUGAGGGGAGUAGUGCAGGUACAAGGGGUGGCAGGAGGGGCACGUCGUGGCAUGCCGUGCAGGCUGGUUUGGCAGCUUGGCGUCGGUGUGUAAAGCUGACGUUGCCGUGUGUUGCGCACCGCUCACACCACCUUUACAGCUCCGUGCCCACCCACCCCACCCACCCACCCGCGCAUACCACCCCGGCAGCAAUCCACCCCACCACCCGCACCGCCCGGCCACCCCCACCCACCCACCAGUCUGCCAGGGCGUCGGGCGGCCCGAACCGGAAGCGCAGCCAGCCGCGCGCCGCCAGCUCCAGGAUGCGCGGCGUGUGGCGCACCUCGCCCGGGCCGUAGAUGGCGGGCGGCCGCACCGCGGUGGUCAGCAGCACGGGCGGCGGCGGCGGCGGCGGCGGGGACAGCAGAGGGGACAGCGGGGGCAGUGGCUUCUGAGAAUCCGCGGGCUGGGGCUGGGUGCGAGGCUGAUUUGGGUGUGGGGAGUGGCCGAGGCUGGAUGGGAGUGAGGGGAGCUGGGAGGGUUGGGGCGAGGGCGUGCGAGGUGGCGCCGGGGGCGUGCCGGCAUCCGUGUCGGAGUCCUCCCCCACACUGCUGGCACCGCUGCUGCUGAUGCCGCACAGGCCGCUCAAGUCGGCGCCGCUGCUACUGCCAUUGGGGAGGCCGCAUGGCCCACUACCGCAGCUACUGCCGCUGCUACUGCCGUGCGCGCACCCCGCGCCCGCGCCGGC